UACGUAGGGUGCGAGCGUUAAUCGGAAUUACUGGGCGUAAAGCGUGCGCAGGCGGCGCGUUAAGUCAGGUGUGAAAGCCCCGAGCUUAACUUGGGAAUUGCGCUUGUGACUGGCGUGCUGGAGUGUGGCAGAGGGAGGUGGAAUUCCACGUGUAGCAGUGAAAUGCGUAGAGAUGUGGAGGAACACCGAUGGCGAAGGCAGCCUGCUGGGCCAGCACUGACGCUCAUGCACGAAAGCGUGGGGAGCAAACAGG
rnacentral:rRNA from 1 species